rnacentral:lncRNA from 1 species
GCCAUCAGUGAGGUGGUGACCUGGAAGUACACCAUCGACAUUCACAAGUGCAUCCAUGGAGUGAACUUUAAAAAGGCCCCUCAGGCACUCAAUGAGAUCCAGAAAUUUUCCAUGAAGAGAUGGGGUCUCCAAAUGUGAGGAUUGAUAUCAGGUUCAACAAAGCUGUUUGGGCUUAAGGAAUAAAGAAUGUCCUAUACCAUAUCCAUGUACAGUUGUCCAGAAAAUGUAAUGAGGAUGAAGAUUCACCAAACAAGCUCUAUACUUUGGUUACCUGCGUACCUGUUACCACUUUCAAAAAUCUACAGAAAGUCAAUGUGGAUAAGAACUGUUGA